GACGAACGCUGGCGGCGUGCUUAACACAUGCAAGUCGAACGGAAAGGCCCCUUUUGGGGUCCUCGAGUGGCGAACGGGGGAGUAACACGUGAGUAACCUGCCCUUGACUUCGGGAUAACUUCACGAAACUGGGGCUAAUACCGGAUAGGAAUCCUUUCUGCAUGGUGGGGGUUGGAAAGUUUCGGCGGUUUUGGAUGGGCUUGCGGCCCAUCAGCUUGUUGGUGGGGUAGUGGCUUACCAAGGCUUUGACGGGUAGCCGGCCUGAGAGGGCGACCGGCAACAUUGGGACUGAGAUACGGCCCAGACUCCUACGGGAGGCAGCAGUGGGGAAUAUUGCACAAUGGGCGGAAGCCUGAUGCAGAAACGCCGCGGGCGGGAUGACGGCCUUCGGGUUGUAAACCGCUUUCAGCAGGGGCGAAGCUUGUGGUGACGGUACCUGCAGAAGAAGCACCGGCUAACUACGUG
rnacentral:rRNA from 1 species